CCUUGUAUUACAAUGGCUUGCCUA
rnacentral:siRNA from 1 species